AUGGCGUUUAUGAUGCCUGUGGUGAAAAACGAAUGGGACAUUUACAAGACUAAUAGGAGUCGACGAUCGUCCGAGUGCUCGAAUCCGCAGGCCUGUCGCAGCCGAAAGGUAUCCGAGUGUUCCAAGUCGGAGGGUCCGUCGUUGUCGACCUCCCCCGGUUCCGACUUUCUCACCUCGCCGGCGCAUCGGUCUGUGCCGCUGACCUCGCGGCACUUCUCGAGGACGUCCUCAAGGGCGUCGCAGAGCUCUCUCCAGAGUCCGAGCAAGAGCACGAGCACGUCGCCGCCGAAAACCGGUAGCUCAAAUUCCCUCAACAAGUUCCAUAAUCGAUUGGUGGAUAAGUUGAAGCGUUCGUUGAAGAAGGCAGAAGAUUGCGCGGAGGAUCAACGGAACCUAUCGUGAAACAGUCAAGGGGUUUUGGGCCGGCCACCCGCGUCCGGCUCGAAACCAAUCGAGAUCCGACGCACUUCGGCACCCGUUACCGUAUCCGAGUCGAGCAGCAACGUGGCGGCGCGCUCGUGUCCGGAUCCGCCUUCAGCUUGGUAAAGAAGAAAGAGAAAGGAGGAAGAAAGAGAUGAUAAUGACGGAGGAAACGAGAGCAACGUGUGCGAAUAUGCGAGGGGAGAAUAAUCAAGAAAGAACAAAAAUGCGUUGACGUAUGAAGGAAGAGAAGGGAGUUCGCACGCGUUCAGCUCGAAAGCGAGCACGCUCAAGUUUGUUAGCCCAGCAUGGAAGAGGAGGAGAACGAUCCUUGAGCCGUUGUGUUCGGCUCGCUGGAUGUCGACAGUCGAUCGUAUCAAGAAUCUUCGCAGAUCGAGAGACCUCGAUCGAAUGAUCGGACGGUGUGGCGCAGCAUUGGUGAGUGCUCGAGAGGACGAAGAGAUACUUGGAACGUUUCUUUGGACCGCAACAUUCUUAAGAUGAUACGCAGUUCCGCGACAACGCCGAUAUAUAAAGCCAAAGCAAUAUCGAUGACCAAUAAUAGCGCGAAGCUUUGAUUUUACGUUCUCCUGGAUAAAUUUGAGAAUCUGUUUAAGAUGGCGUGAGAAAGAGCAAAAAAAGGAGCUGAGAGGACAAUGGGAUCACAGCCGAUCAGUCGAUCGAUGUUGACCGAGGAGAUUUCAAGGAAUCAUCGAAGAUCAUCGAAAGUCAAAGGACAAUCGUGAGGGAUGGAGGAGUCGACGACGGAGGAAGUGAGGUUCGAGUUUGCGUGCCGG